UACAGAGGUCUCAAGCGUUGUUCGGAUUCAUUGGGCGUAAAGGGUGCGUAGGCGGCGCGGUAAGUCGGGUGUGAAAUCUCGGGGCUUAACUCCGAAACUGCAUUCGAUACUGCCGUGCUUGAGGACUGGAGAGGAGACUGGAAUUUACGGUGUAGCGGUGAAAUGCGUAGAUAUCGUAAGGAAGACCAGUGGCGAAGGCGGGUCUCUGGACAGUUCCUGACGCUGAGGCACGAAAGCGUGGGGAGCAAAC
rnacentral:rRNA from 1 species